rnacentral:rRNA from 1 species
GACGAACGCUGGCGGCGCGCCUAACACAUGCAAGUCGAACGAGCGAGAGAGAGCUUGCUUUCUCGAGCGAGUGGCGAACGGGUGAGUAACGCGUGAGGAACCUGCCUCAAAGAGGGGGACAACAGUUGGAAACGACUGCUAAUACCGCAUAAGCCCACGGGUCGGCAUCGACCAGAGGGAAAAGGAGCAAUCCGCUUUGAGACGGCCUCGCGUCCGAUUAGUUAGUUGGUGAGGUAACGGCCCACCAAGGCGACGAUCGGUAGCCGGACUGCGAGGUUGAACGGCCACAUUGGGACUGAGACACGGCCCAGACUCCUACGGGAGGCAGCAGUGGGGAAUAUUGCACAAUGGGGGAAACCCUGAUGCAGCGACGCCGCGUGGAGGAAGAAGGUCUUCGGAUUGUAAACUCCUGUUGUUGGGGAAGAUAAUGACGGUACCCAACAAGGAAGUGACGGCUAACUACGUGCCAGCCGCCGCCGUAA